UCUUCCUCACGUCCUCUCUCCCCACUUUUUUUCUAACUACCCUCAAAUCCCAUCCCUUAUCCGCUCACGUUUUUUUUCUUUCUCUUAACAAAUCCUUAUCCCAAAACCAAUCCUCCCAAUUCUUUUAAACCCCUCACCCCUUUAAACUCUCCCCAAACAUUAUCCUCUAACCUUCCACUCCCACACGUCCCUUUAAUUAUGCAGAACACCCACACACAUACACUAUAAAUAAGGCAACACAACACACACGAACAUAGAAAAAGGAAGAACAAUAGAGAGUAGAGAAAAACACAUCAGAAGCAGUAGAAAAAAAAAACACAGUAAGCAAAGAGAGCAAAAUACACAGUAAAAAAAUACAUUGAGAGCAAAGAGACAAAAAAAAUACCAAUUUCGAAAAGGUUUGGUUUGAAUGCUAAGUUGGAGUUCGAGGUUUCUGCUCACGGUUUUGCGUUUGUGGACCAGAAAGUUAGCACUGUUAACUUUGAAAAUCGUUAGAGUAUAGCCGUUUUCUUGUUGCGAAUUAAUCUACGCAAAGGACAACAAAGAAAGGAAAGAAGGCGGUGCCAAUAUAAGAAUAGAGAGAUGGACAAGAAAUCUGUUUAUAGAGAUUUCGCUGUUGGUUAGUUUGAAUAUUGAUAUGAAUUGCUUCUUUAUGUUUCACUUUCAUUUCAAAGGUGAUUAACUAAUAUACAAGUUAUGAUUCAAAGUAACUUUUGUAAGCUUGUAGUCUUGAUAUGUGAAAAUAAUGAUUAUGAGACUUUGCACUUUGUUGUUUGGAUAUAUAAAUAGUAUUCGCAAUUGGUCAGAUGAAUUUGUUGGUUGUAUAUUUAAAUUCAUUAUUUCUAAAUUAUUAACUUCAUCUGAUAUUGUAGUUAAAUGACCUUAUUCAUAAUCUACCUUCUGAAGUAGUCUGAAGCUGAUACUGUUGACACCCAAUUUUGUCCCGCCUCUCUUCCAAAAUACCUAUUUAUGUUUAUAACAUUUUAUGGAAAAUUAAAAAAUAUAUAUAUAUAUAUUAUAUUUUACUAUAAUUAUUAGCCUUUUAUCAAAGCUGGUGUUUCAUUAUUAUAUUACAGUUAUUAAUUAUUAUUAUUAUUAUCAUUUUUUUCGGCAUUUUACCAGCUCAUGCACGCGCAUCGCAUUUAUCUUCGCAUAAUUAAAUAAUAGUAUUUAUUUCACUAUGGAUUUUCAAAAAAUAUUAUUGCACGGCUAUUACAACACCAUUUUUUUUUAUUAUCUGAGCAUUAAUAAUUGCAUAUUUUAUAUGGAAUAAUAUUUUAACACAAGUUAUUUAAAUAGGUCUUUAUCUAAUUGUAGUAGCCCAAUCAACUCAUAUUGUUUCCGGACCAAUUCAUGAAGAACCAGUCCACAAUUUAAUCUUAUCUAACAUCAUUCUAAUUUAUCAGCCCAAAUAAUUAACCAACCAAACCAGCCCAUACCCGUUUUAAAACCGUACCCGACCCGGAUCGCACCAAAACAAAGGGAACCCUUUUAGGGUUUCCUUCGUCUUCUCCGUCAUUCCCCUUUUCCACUUCUCCGCCUCCCCUCCCCUCUUCUCCUCUCCAUCUCCGCCUCUCUUCCUCUCCGCCGUCUUCUCCACCUCCCCAUCGUCGCCUCCACUACACCACCAUCUCCCCACUCCUUCUCUACCACUCCCUUUCCCUUUACCCCUAAACCCUAGCCGCCACACACACACCCCCCACUGUUUUUCUCCAUCCUACGCGUCUGACACCUCCACUAUACCACGUCACCUCUGCCACCUCCACUUCCCACUACACCACGCCUCUGACACCCCCACUUCCAUCUUCCCACCACGCUCACUGUCAUCGUCAUCUUCCUCUGUUCCCCGCUCCUCUUCUCCCUCGAUUCCCUUUAUCAUUUUCUUUUCAACCCAAAAACCCUAUAAAAUGGGGUUGAAUCGUCUCAGAUCAAGGGGGGGAUUUUUGAUUCAUGAAACUACCCCAAGGAAAAAGGGAUUUCUCGAUUCAUGAAAUCCCCAAGAACAAGUUUGUUUAGACGCAGAAUCCCCUUACAAAAACGAGUUUCUUGAACCCCAUAAAUCCCCUACAAAAUAGGGCUUUCGAAUUGCAAAAAAGGGUUCUGAAAAUCAAAGUUCUGAAUCAAGUCUUUUUUUUGAAACCCUGAAAAGCUCUAAAAUAUGAGUCUUUUAGUCUCCUAUAAUUCUCCAAAAUACGAGUUUCUAUUAGCAGUUCAAUCUUGUUUUAUUGUCAAAUCGAAAUAUCAAAUCAAUUUUAUUCUCGUUUACUUUGGUGCUGCUGCGAGUCCGAGCAUCGCAAGCUCGGGUUUGGCGGUGUUCGAGUGUAGAUCGAAGAUUCGCACCCACUUCGCUGCACCAGCAAAAGGUCAGCAAUUUCCCCUCUUUCUUUGAAAAUUCAUUUUUUUUUUUGGUUUGAUGUUUAUAUGAGUUAUUCUCUGCAAAUUAGUUAAUCUCAGUUAAUUCUACUCAGUUAGCUCCAUGUCCGUUUAAUGUAUUAAUCGUGUUGUCUGAUUGGUAAUUGAUUUAAGAUUCAAGCAUCAAACCUAAUCGUAUGUUGGAUUAGAUGCCCAUGUUAGUGUUAGUCUUUGCCAUAUGCUUGUUUCGAUGAUUAGUCUUAAUGAGUGUGCUUUAGGUCCAAUUUGAUAUGAUGUUGUUAAGUGUCGGUUGCUGGUUUUUGUGCGAUUCAGUUAGGUUAUUUAAUGCUAGUAUUAGUUGGUAUUGGUAUGCAUGACCAGUUGGUAGAUAUGCGUAAGUUUGGAAUUUCAUGUAUCCGCUCCAUGCGAACUAUAUUGUUCUUUCACCAUCUCUGAUUUAGUCAUUGCUAUAGUUUAAGUGGUGGUUCAGCUUGUUAUUUUAAAGAAAGUUGUGUUAAGUAUGUUGAUUCUUUGCUCUUGAAUGGCAUUCAUGCUAGCAAAAUUACCUUUAGAUUAGAUAAUUACCCAAUUGGUAUUCAUGCGUAUCAUGUUUCUUAGCUGUUCAAAGUUCUCAUCCUUUAUUUGGGAAUUGACUUCUUCUAGAUUUCUGGGUUGAUAGAGCAGUGAGAUUCAGCAUUUUAGAACCAGAAUACUUUGCGCUCCUUUAGCUUGAAAUUUGGAGUUUCCUUCUCCAUACUAUAAAGCCAUAAUCAUGCUUCCUCUAUUUGGCUCUGCUUAGUUCUUGUGUUGACCUCAACUGACCCUAGGAAUUUGUAAUUUCGUCAACAUGAUUAAAAUUCGUGUCUAUCAAAAUCGGUAAGGUUCAACUUUGAGUUAAUCUCCUUGUUGUUUUUUUUUUUAGUUUAACCAAUGCAUUAUUCCCUUUCUAUAUAUCUGAUUCUUUUUUGGAAAUCAGAUGGUAAUAGCCAUAACGAUUUAAUUCACUUCUCAAUAAUCUUCUUUACUUGGGAUAUUUGCAACCCAAAGUGCUAGCCUUACUUGAGAAGAUAUGGACUGGUUAAGUUGAGACAUAAUCAUCCCUUUCCUUAUUCAUAUUGUGAUCUAAGCAUGCCCGUAGAGAUGUGGAGGUGAUUUGAUGUGAAACAUGUUAUGUUUAAUUUGAUAUGGAUUUUGUACGAAAGUUUUAAAGUUGUAUCGAUUCGCUGGUGGGUUGGAGGAUAUAAUUUGGCUUCACAUUUGGGUCUGAUUUUUGCCGAAGUUAUAUCCUUUCAUGGGUUCUGUAAACUCCUGCAUUCAGGAUAUAUUUCCUAUAUGCCUUGUCUGCCCUGUAACUUGUUGGAAAUCCUAGUCUUUGUAGUCAUUUUUUGCGUAUUCUUUACUGUCAGUGAAGCUGAUGCCUAGUUCAAUUUAUAAGUGUUUUGGCUGGCAUUUGCAUUUGAUGUGAUGGUACUUGAAGUUCUUUCUUUGAGUUAUGAAUUUACAUUAUUAGUUAUUUAGACUCAUACUAAUCCUUUUCUUUUAUUUUUAUGCAUGACCAUCGCAUACGAGUCCGAGUGACUCGUCUUCUUCCGCAUUCGGUGUUGGGCUAAAAACCCAACGCAAUCUCCUCUCGGGUCAAUCUACGUCUGCAGCAGAUAAAAAAAAAAAAUUCUGGGCUAAGCCCACACAGCAGCGGGCCACAGCAAUACAAUGAUUCUGGGCCAAGCCCAGUUCCAACAGCAGCAGCCCAACCCUCAGCAAUAUAAAAGGGUGCUGGGCUGAAAUUUAACGGCAAACAGAUCCAGCAAUCCCAAAACGGACUGGGUCCAUUUGAUAUGAUUCGCUCCCUUUUUUAUUUCAUUUCAUGCAUUUGAUUUGUAUUAUGCAACUAACCUCUUUGAUUUAGAUGAACCUUAGCGCAUUUAGUGGGUUAACUUUAGUAUAUUGGGUAGUAAACUUAGGAGAGAAACUCACAAUUAACCUCCCAUAAGUUUCAUCUCCUCCUUUUUAUGUUAAAGUUAUUUACAGUAUCUAUUUCUAGAA